GAGUUUGAACCUGGCUCAGGAUGAACGCUGGCGGUGCGCCUAACACAUGCAAGUCGAACGAAGGAUUGUGAAGGAACUUUACGGAGGGAAAACACAAUGACUGAGUGGCGGACGGGUGAGUAACGCGUAGGGAACCUGGCCCUUACAGGGGGAUAACAGAUGGAAACAACUGCUAAUACCGCAUAAGCGCCCAGCCUCGCAUGAGGCAGAGUGAAAAACUAAGGUGGUAAGGGAUGGCCCUGCGUCCGAUUAGCUAGUUGGUAUGGUAACGGCAUACCAAGGCGACGAUCGGUAGCCGGCCUGAGAGGGUGGACGGCCACAUUGGGACUGAGACACGGCCCAAACUCCUACGGGAGGCAGCAGUGGGGGAUAUUGCACAAUGGGGGAAACCCUGAUGCAGCGACACCGCGUGGGUGAAGAAGCGCUUCGGCGUGUAAAGCCCUAUCAGUGGGGAAGAAA
rnacentral:rRNA from 1 species